UACCAGCACCCCGAGUGGUCGGGACGUUUAUUGGGCCUAAAGCAUCCGUAGCCGGUUCUGCAAGUCUUCCGUUAAAUCCACCUGCUUAACAGAUGGGCCGCGGAAGAUACUAUAGAGCUAGGAGGCGGGAGAGGCAAGCGGUACUCGAUGGGUAGGGGUAAAAUCCGUUGAUCCAUUGAAGACCACCAGUGGCGAAGGCGGCUUGCCAGAACGCGCUCGACGGUGAGGGAUGAAAGCUGGGGGAG
rnacentral:rRNA from 1 species